rnacentral:rRNA from 1 species
CAAUAGCGUAUAUUAAAGUUGUUGCAGUUAAAAAGCUCGUAGUUGGAUUUCUGGUGGGAGCGAUCGGUCUGGCGCUUAGCGCGAGUACUUGCAUCGUCUCCGGCCAUCCUUGGGGAGAGUCUGUCUGGCAUUAAGUUGUCGGGCAGAGGAUCCUCAUCGUUUACUGUGAAAAAAUUAGAGUGUUCAAAGCAGGCUUAUGCCGUUGAAUAUAUUAGCAUGGAAUAAUAAGAUAGGACUUUGGUGCUAUUUUGUUGGUUUGCGCACCAAAGUAAUGAUUAAUAGGGACAGUUGGGGGUAUUCGUAUUCCAUUGUCAGAGGUGAAAUUCUUGGAUUUUUGGAAGACGAACUACUGCGAAAGCAUUUACCAAGGAUGUUUUCAUUAA